AGGAUGAACGCUGGCGGCGUGCUUAACACAUGCAAGUCGAACGGUGAAGCAGGAGCUUGCCCCUGCGGAUCAGUGGCGAACGGGUGAGUAACACGUGAGAAAUCUGCCCUGGACUCUGGGAUAAGCGUUGGAAACGACGUCUAAUACCGGAUACGAGACGUGAAGGCAUCUUCAACGUCUAGGAAAGACUUCGGUCCAGGAUGAUCUCGCGCUAUCAGUCUAGUUGGUGAGGUAACGGCCCACGAGGCGACGACGGUAGCCGGCUGAGACGGGUGACCGGCACGACGUGGACUGA
rnacentral:rRNA from 1 species